GGAGCUGUGGUGUUCAACAGUAGCACAGCGGACUUUUAAUCCGCCCGGUGCGGGUGCGACUCCCGCCGGCUCCACCA
rnacentral:tRNA from 1 species